rnacentral:sRNA from 1 species
CGGGUACUGCCGCGCACGAGCCUUUUGAACAUCCCUGAGGCUAUAAGCAAAUCCUAUGGGGGCUGUCCCUGCCCCGGUCCUGGCCGGAAGCACAUGGUCCCCACCUGACGUGAACGCGUCGGUGGAUUUCUAGGCAAACGACCCAUGGUGGUCCCGUC